rnacentral:SRP_RNA from 1 species
GCCGGGUGUGGUGGUGCGCACCUGUAAUCCCAGCUACUUGGGAGGCUGAGGCAGGAGAAUCACUUGAACUCAGGAGGCAUAGGUUGCAGUGAGCUAAGAUUGUGCCACUGCGCUCUAGCCUGGGCAACAGAGCAAGACCCUGUCUCAA